rnacentral:rRNA from 1 species
UACGGGAGGGUGCGAGCGUUGUCCGGAAUCACUGGGCGUAAAGGGCGCGUAGGUGGCGUUCCAAGUCAACGGUGAAAGCUCGGGCUCAACCCCGAGUCGGCCGUCGAUACUGGGAGGCUUGAGCACUGUAGAGGCAGAUGGAAUUCCGGGUGUAGCGGUGGAAUGCGUAGAGAUCCGGAAGAACACCGGUGGCGAAGGCGGUCUGCUGGGCAGUAGCUGACACUGAGGCGCGACAGCGUGGGGAGCAAACAGGG